CUCCUGCUCAGGAUUGUCAGUGUUCUACUAAGAGUGGCUUAUAAACAUCCUCCAAUCUGUGAGUCUAUUUACUUGCUGUGCAGCUCGGCAGCAAAAGAAAGGAGGGGAAUGGCAGUGAGCACAGGAUCUUUACCUAGAAGCUGGCUUUAUUUCCCUCUGCUGGUUCUGCUGCCUCUCUGCCUGCUGCUCAGGGCUGGCUGGCACCUCUGAGGAAGCCGCCACGUCACACCUUGCUGGAGUCGGGGAGAAAGUGAGCAUGCUCUGGGGCUUGACUGGGUCUUCUGCCACAUAGUGCUUUAGUGAGUUGCUUGGUCCAUCACAUUUCCUGAAAGCCACAAGCAACAGGACCCCAGUGAGGUGGAGUGAGGGACCCAUGCUGUUUGCUGUCCAGCAGGAGAGCUCUGAGAAAUACUCAAGUUUCCUACAUCCCAUUGUGAAGGCCAGUUGGCUGCUGCACACUUAGAGAUCCGAAGAAGAGAAGGCUUCCAGCAAUCUGCCAAGAGAACCAUUCAACUUUGAAGUGCUGGUUUGGAGGGCAAUGGCAUGAGGUGGAGAAUCAAAAGUGGGAUGAGGCAGGUGGGGACUCCCUUUGAACUCAAGGAUUAAUGAACGCCUUCUUCUGUUGAAAACUUGGUCAGCUGAUUACCAAGUAGCAAUACUGAGAAAAAUUACAAAAUGACACAAAUAAACAUUUUGGCUGAUUUCAAAA